UACGAAGGGGGCUAGCGUUGCUCGGAAUCACUGGGCGUAAAGGGUGCGUAGGCGGGUCUUUAAGUCAGGGGUGAAAUCCUGGAGCUCAACUCCAGAACUGCCUUUGAUACUGAGGAUCUUGAGUUCGGGAGAGGUGAGUGGAACUGCGAGUGUAGAGGUGAAAUUCGUAGAUAUUCGCAAGAACACCAGUGGCGAAGGCGGCUCACUGGCCCGAUACUGACGCUGAGGCACAAAAGCGUGGGGAGCAAACAGG
rnacentral:rRNA from 1 species